AACGCACCUUGCGCUCCUUGGUAUUCCGAGGAGCAUGCCUGUUUGAGUGUCUUGAAGUCAUCAACCCCUCACGUUUCGUGCGGUGGGGAAGGUUGGAAGUGGGGGCAAUGCGGCCUGCAAAUGGCGGCUCCCCUCAAAUGCUUCGGUUGGGCCUGUGGGUCGAACUCGGUUGGGCGUUGUACCAUCCUCGCUCUGCUCCGAGAAGUUCCCCUUUGAUUGUGCCUUUCCACGACCGCCCCUCGAGUGCGGCGGUCAAGCUUAACUUUGAAAUCUGACCUCAAAUCAGGUAGGACUACCCGCUGAACUUAA
rnacentral:misc_RNA from 1 species